rnacentral:rRNA from 1 species
GACGAACGCUGGCGGCGUGCUUAACACAUGCAAGUCGAACGGAAAGGCCCUGCUUUCAUGGUAUUCUAGUGUCGAACAGGGGUGUAACACGCGUGUGUUAUCUCCUGCACUUCGGGGUAUGCCUGCUAAAAUGGGUCUAUUACCCCAUAUGAGCCAUUCUGCUGCAUGUUGUUGGAUAGUUUUUUGGGUGUAGGAAGAGCUCGCUGCCUAUUAGCUUGUUGGUGGGGUAAUUGUCUACUAAGGCAGCGACUGGUAGGCGGCCUGGGAGGGGGGACGGCCACCAUGGGACUGAGAUACGGCCCAGACGUCUACGGGAGGCAGCAGGGGGGAAUAUUGCACAAUGGGGGCAAGCCUGAUGCAACGAAGGCGGGUGGGGGAAGACCGGCUUUGGGUUGUAAACCCCGUUCGGUAGGGAAGAAGCUGUUUGUGACGGUACCUAGAUAAGAAGCACCGGCUAACUACGUG